AAAGAAAAAACUACGUUUGGAAUGACAUAAGUUUAAACGAUGUAAAUAAUGACUGCAUUUUCAUUCUGUGUGAACUAUUUCUUUAAGAAGUGAUGCUGAUCUAAAAGCUCCUGGAGAUGACUGGACCAAAGCGGAGGGG